GAUGAACGCUGGCGGCGUGCCUAAUACAUGCAAGUCGAGCGAACAGACGAGAGUGCUUGCACUCUCUGACGUUAGCGGCGGACGGGUGAGUAACACGUGGGUAACCUACCUAUAAGACUGGGAUAACUUCGGGAAACCGGAGCUAAUACCGGAUAAUAUUUAGCUUCGCAUGAAGCAAUAGUGAAAGACGGUUCUGCUGUCACUUAUAGAUGGACCCGCGGUGUAUUAGCUAGUUGGUGAGGUAACGGCUCACCAAGGCAACGAUACAUAGCCGACCUGAGAGGGUGUCCGCCCCCACUGGAACUAGGCCACGCCCCGGACUCCUACGGGAGGCGCCGGUGGGGAAUCUCCCGCAAUGAACGAAAGUCUGACGAGGAAUUGCGGCUUAAGUAAAGAGGUUUUCCGAAUCGUAAACCUCUGUUGUAGGGAAAGACCAGGUACGUUAGUACCUGACCGUCCUUUAAGGUUACCUAACAAAAAGCCACAGCUAACUACGUG
rnacentral:rRNA from 1 species